rnacentral:rRNA from 1 species
UGGGGAAUAUUGCACAAUGGGGGAAACCCUGAUGCAGCGACGCCGCGUGAGCGAUGAAGUAUUUCGGUAUGUAAAGCUCUAUCAGCAGGGAAGAAAAUGACGGUACCUGACUAAGAAGCCCCGGCUAACUACGUGCCAGCAGCCGCGGUAAUACGUAGGGGGCAAGCGUUAUCCGGAUUUACUGGGUGUAAAGGGAGCGUAGACGGCGGUGCAAGUCUGAAGUGAAAGGCAGGGGCUCAACCCUUGGACUGCUUUGGAAACUGUGCUGCUAGAGUGUCGGAGAGGCAAGUGGAAUUCCUAGUGUAGCGGUGAAAUGCGUAGAUAUUAGGAGGAACACCAGUGGCGAAGGCGGCUUGCUGGACGAUGACUGACGUUGAGGCUCGAAAGCGUGGGGAGCAAACAGG